rnacentral:rRNA from 1 species
UACGGAGGGUGCCGAGCGUUGUCCGGAAUCACUGGGCGUAAAGGGCGCGUAGGCGGCGCGGGCAGUUCAACGGUGGAAGCUUGGGGCUCAACCCCGAGUCGGCCGUCGAUGACUCCCGGGCUGGAGCACUGUAGAGGCAGGUGGAAUUCCGGGUGUAGCGGUGGAAGUGACGUAGAGAUCCGGAAGAACACCGGCGGUGUAGACGGCUCUCUGGACCGUAACUGACGCUGAGAUGACGAAAGCGUGGGUAGCAAACAGG